CAGAUAGGUGCAAUCCUCAGACUUGAGAGAUGCAAAUCUACUCUUCUAAUCUUCCACAGACUCCAUGUGUAAUCUGGAGCAAGUCAUGGACAAACCUGCAAGGGUGGUAGCCUAGCAGAGGAGAGGUCUAUAUCUCGCUCCUAGAACAAGUUUUAGAAAGGCUUCCAGAAGAGGCCCUACUAAAGAAUAGUUUAUAAUCCAGGACCCAUGACUCAGUCUAUCAUGGAAAUAAUGUUAAAAUGGAAGAUCUCCUGGGCUAACACAGUAGAGGUCCUUCUCCAGAAGAAGGCAGAAAGAACCCACUAGCAGCUUGAGAGGAUACCACAGUGCAAAUUCCAAUGAGAAGUAUGGAAGAAAAUUAAAAAAGAAAAGAAAAAAGGAUCACUAGAACAUCGGGGCUUCAGGGUUGGCUAUUUAAGGUUGUGAAAAGAUCAAAGCUUACAGGAGUACAGUCGAAUUCAGCAUUCAAUCCCUGGACCUCUCAGUUGUUGGUCUUGCAUCCAUAUUCAUUGGAGAAGGGAGAAAAUUGGUUCAUCUGAACAUAUUGGAAAAGGCCGAUUAACAGUCCAUAGGAAUCUACACAGGAAAGACAUUCCUCACAUGAGAUGGUUCUUUGAUCUGUCAAAGAUACAGGCAGAACCAGAUGCAAUGGAUGGGAGCUGGAAACUAAAAUCCAGAUUUGAAAGAAAAUGAGCGUGCACUCUCGUGUGUGCGCGCGCUCUCUCUCUCUCUCUCUCUCUGUUUUUGUGCGUAUGCUUGGUUUUUUUAAAAUCGGUGAGUGAUGUGACUCAUUGAAAUAAACUACUAGGCUAUGGGUGGAUUCUUUAC